rnacentral:rRNA from 1 species
GACGAACGCUGGCGGCGUGCUUAACACAUGCAAGUCGAACGGAAAGGCCCUGCUUUUGUGGGGUGCUCGAGUGGCGAACGGUUGAGUAUCACGUGAGUAACCUGCCCUUGACUUUGGGAUAACUUCAGGAAACUGGGGCUAAUACCGGAUAGGAGCUCCUGCUGCAUGGUGUGGGGUGGAAAGUUUCGGCGGUUGGGGAUGGACUCGCGGCUUAUCAGCUUGUUGGUGGGGUAGUGGCUUACCAAGGCUUUGACGGGUAGCCGGCCUGAGAGGGUGACCGGCCACAUUGGAACUGAGAUACGGCCCAGACUCCUACGGGAGGCAGCAGUGGAGAAUAUUGCGCAAUGGGCGGAAGCCUGAUGCAGCAACGCCGCGUGCGGGAUGACGGCCUUCGGGUUGUAACCCGAUUUCGCCUGUGACGAAGCGUGAGUGACGGUAAUGGGUAAAGAAGCACCGGCUAACUACGUG